rnacentral:rRNA from 1 species
CCCUUAGAUGUUCUGGGCCGCACGCGCGCUACACUGACGAAUGCAACGAGCUUAUAACCUUGGCCGAAAGGUCUGGGUAAUCUCCAAAUUUCGUCGUGAUGGGGAUAGAUUAUUGCAAUUAUUAAUCUUCAACGAGGAAUGCCUAGUAAGCGCAAGUCAUCAGCUUGCGUUGAUUACGUCCCUGCCCUUUGUACACACCGCCCGUCGCUCCUACCGAUUGAAUGGUCCGGUGAAGCGUUCGGACCGUGGCCUUUGGACGGUUCGCCGUCUGUUGGCUGCGGGAAGUUCGUUAAACCUUAUCAUUUAGAGGAAGGAGAAGUCGUAAUA